rnacentral:tRNA from 2 species
GCGAAUAUUGAGUAAUGGCUAUCUCCCUUGCCUUCCAAGCAAGUAUAUUGCUGGUUCGAAUCCGGUUAUUCGCU